UACGUAGGGUGCAAGCGUUGUCCGGAAUUAUUGGGCGUAAAGAGCUCGUAGGCGGCUUGUCACGUCGAUUGUGAAAGCCCCGGGGGCUUAACUCCGGGUCUGCAGUCGAUACGGGCUAGCUAGAGUGUGGUAGGGGAGAUCGGAAUUCCUGGUGUAGCGGUGAAAUGCGCAGAUAUCAGGAGGAACACCGGUGGCGAAGGCGGAUCUCUGGGCCAUUACUGACGCUGAGGAGCGAAAGCGUGGGGAGCGAACAGG
rnacentral:rRNA from 1 species